rnacentral:rRNA from 1 species
GACGAACGCUGGCGGCGUGCUUAACACAUGCAAGUGGAGCGACGAACCAGGGCUUGCCCUGGGGCAGAGCCGCGAACGGGUGAGUAACACGUGGGUUACCUGCCUCGAUGACUGGGACAACCCGAGGUAACUCGGGCUAAUACCGGAUGUGACCGCAAGGGGAAAGGAAGCUUCGGCCUCCGCAUCGAGAUGGGCCCGCGGCCCAUUAGCUUGUUGGUGAGGUAACGGCUCACCAAGGCCGCGAUGGGUAGCUGGUCUGAGAGGACGAUCAGCCACACUGGGACUGAGACACGGCCCAGACUCCUACGGGAGGCAGCAGUGGGGAAUCUUGCGCAAUGCGCGAAAGCGUGACGCAGCAACGCCGCGUGGGGGAAGAAGGCUUUCGGGUUGUGAACCCCUUUCAGUUGGGACGAAGCUUCGCCGAUGAAUAGUCGGCCGGAGUGACGGUACCUUCACAAGAAGCACCGGCUAACUACGUGCCAGCCGCCGCGGUAAAAC